rnacentral:rRNA from 1 species
AGAGUUUGAUCCUGGCUCAGAACAAACGCUGGCGGCGUGCCUAACACAUGCAAGUCGCACGCGAAAGGGGGCAACCCUGAGUAGAGUGGCGGACGGGUGAGUAACGCGUAGGAAUCUACCUGGUAGUGGGGGACAACCCGGCGAAAGCCGGGCUAAUACCGCAUACGAUCCACGGAUGAAAGCAGGGGACCGCAAGGCCUUGCGCUAUCAGAUGAGCCUGCGUCGGAUUAGCUAGUUGGUGAGGUAACGGCUCACCAAGGCGACGAUCCGUAGCUGGUUUGAGAGAACGACCAGCCACACCGGAACUGAGACACGGUCCGGACUCCUACGGGAGGCAGCAGUGGGGAAUAUUGGACAAUGGGGGCAACCCUGAUCCAGCAAUGCCGCGUGUGUGAAGAAGGCCUUCGGGUUGUAAAGCACUUUCGGUGGGGACAAACAAGGCGGAGCUGACAUCUCCGUCCCUGAUGGUACCCAAAGAAGAAGCACCGGCUAACUCUGUGCCAGCAGCCGCGGUAAUACAGAGGGUGCAAGCGUUAAUCGGAAUUACUGGGCGUAAAGGGUGCGUAGGUGGUUUGUUAAGUCAGGCGUGAAAUCCUCGGGCUCAACCUGGGAACUGCGCUUGAUACUGGCAGACUCGAGUGUGGUAGAGGAUAGUGGAAUUCCCGGUGUAGCGGUGAAAUGCGUAGAUAUCGGGAGGAACAUCAGUGGCGAAGGCGGCUAUCUGGACUAACACUGACACUGAGGCACGAAAGCGUGGGUAGCAAACAGGAUUAGAUACCCUGGUAGUCC